GCCGACUUAGCUCAAUAGGUAGAGCAACUGACGUGUACUCAGUAGGUCGCCAGUUCGCUUCCGGCAGUCGGCACCA
rnacentral:tRNA from 1 species